rnacentral:lncRNA from 1 species
AAAGCAUGCAUCAGCCACAUCCAUGCUAUCUCCUAAAGCAGUCAUUCUGAAACCCAAUCUGGGGACAGUGCAGACUAAAUAAAAUUUCAUUUUGAUUUGGCCUCCCGCUGCGAAUGGGACUGCUUUGUCUCAGCCGACAGAACCAGCAAGCCAGAAAGAUUGAAGAACAAAAUGAAAGUUAGUUAAAGAAGACGUUGAAGAAACAAUAGUGUGAAAACAGCACGAAAUGUCAUUUGGUAAAUAUGCCACAGCCUCACAUAAGGAAGAGGAAAAUGGCAGUGUGGGCCAUGACUGGCAGGUCUGGAUCCAUAGACUGUGAUUUCCAGGAUCACCCAACAGGAAUGAAGACAUUUGGAGAAGAAUCAUUUACUGAAAGGAGACUCCUGGACUGGAGGAAAACCAUGAUCUACAGUUCAUGUUGACAGAUAUUGUGUUUUUGGUCCUAGAUCUGACUUUUGAAAUGACUUAUCACAAAUUCAGAUUUAGCAAUCAUGAGUGAAGUACCCACAAUGUGCUAAGCAUCUACCUUUGCAGAUAGAACACUUACUGUUCCUGAGCAUGGGAGGGAAUAGAAG